rnacentral:rRNA from 1 species
UACGUAGGGGGCGAGCGUUGUUCGGAAUUACUGGGCGUAAAGGGCGCGUAGGCGGCGACCCAAGUCAGAUGUGAAAGUCCUGGGCUUAACCUGGGGACUGCAUUUGAUACUGGGUUGCUUGAAUUCGGGAGAGGAUAGCGGAAUUCCCAGUGUAGAGGUGAAAUUCGUAGAUAUUGGGAAGAACACCGAUGGCGAAGGCAGCCAUCUGGACCGACACUGACGCUGAGGCGCGAAAGCGUGGGGAGCAAACAGG